GGGCGGUUAGUUCAGUUGGUUAGAACGCGUGAUUUACAUUCACGAGGUCAGAGGUUCGAGUCCCCUACCGCCCACCA
rnacentral:tRNA from 2 species